rnacentral:misc_RNA from 1 species
CUGUGCACCAAAUUAAUUUGUUAAGGCCUCAUUGAAGGAAACAAAUAAACUCGAAGGCAACUCUAUUGCACUCACUGCAACCUUUAAGAUAAAUAUUAUUUUGAGGUAUAAAUCAUAAGACAGCUUGAUCUCCUUGUUGUGCAUUUCUUCACCUGGAUGGCAAAUAUAGAUGUUAGAAGCUUCUAUUCAUAUGGGAUAACACAAAGCUUAAAACUACGAGAUCUAAACUAGUACAAAAGCCUAAUAUUACCAAGACAACAAAUUAGGAAAACAAUGUCAAACACAAACUUCUCUCUCAGUCUCUCUCUCUCUUUUGCUUCUAUUCAUGGGGUAAAUUAAAGACAGGCUUUAGAACUAAAACUUCAAAAAAUUUGAGAAAAUGCCAAAACAUAUAACAGCAGAGACACAAACAACAAAGAGAAAUCUGCCAAAGAUGACCCAGGACUUUGGAUUUUCUAAUCUGACAAUGCAAGUUACAGUAUCUCAAUCUUCAUUUAAUCCCAAACUUAAAGGAAAAUUUAUGAUGUAGCUUCAAAAUGACUGGGGAAAAUCAAGUUUCAAACUUGACGACAAUAUUAGUUGUUGCUAGUAGAUCAUUUAAAGAAGGCUAUGACACAAAAUUGGUGAGACUUGAGAGAACAAAAAACUCCUCACGUAAUCAAUAUAUAACAAGCAAUUGCCAUACUAUUAGCAGUAGUUUAAGGAUCAAGGUAGAGAGAGAAAGAACACAAGAAAUUCAAAACAUCUAUAGUCUGUCAGAGGUAUGUGUUUGCAAACAUUAAGCAUAUCAAUAGAAGAUGCAUACACUUGCUGACCUAGAACUUCAAAACAUCUAUGGUCCGGCAGAGGUAUGUGUUUGCAAACACAAAGCAUAUCAAUAGUAGAUGUACACUUACUGACAUAGAAUUAAUAGAAAGAAAAAGAUAAAACAUGACCAUUUAUUUUGCAAAUGCAUCAUUAAUUAUUCCACAGAUAUAUGCAACAAGUACAAGUAGAUGGCUUGAGAAAUUAGGGUUUGUAAACUUAUGCAAUAACUAUGUUAGCAUUAGUGUAAAGGAAAAUUAAUGACUACAGCUGCAAAUGGCCUU